rnacentral:lncRNA from 1 species
UGUAGUGGUCGGAAUUUUUACUUAUGCGAGGAUUGUUGUAUGUCGGGAUUCUGGCGUGUCGGUGUUUUUGCUGUCGGGAUUUUAGCUGUCGGGAUUUUGGGCGCCACCGGAAUAGGAUAUAUACAAAAGAUCUAAUAUUUGUCCUGCCUGGAAGAAAAUAUCCAAGAAUAAUCGUAGAUGAGUACGAAUACAAUGUUCACAAAAAAGAAGAAAAUAAAACAAGAUGGAGAUGUACAAACGAGUCAAGGACCAAGUGUACAGCCACUCUGUAUACUUUUGGACACACAGUGAUUAUGAAGAGAUCACAUAAUCAUCCGAAAAGUAAAAUUGAUAGUUUAAACAAAAUUGGUGUUCCGAAAUUUGUUAAUAUUAUUAGGCAGUAAUAAUUAACUAAAUUUCUUUUAAUAAAUGUCUUCAUUUUAAAUUUAAUAUAUAAUGAUUUUAAGCAAUUGCUUAUUGGUGUCAAUACAAAUGUUGUUUAUAAACAGACUGUAUUCAAGUUUUUGUUAUUAAAAUAUGGCAAACAAAUAA